GGUCUCCCUCUCAACCCUCUAGGUGGUCUCCCUCUCAACCCUCUAGGUGGUCUCCCUCUCAACCCUCUAGGUGGUCUCCCUCUCAACCCUCUAGGUGGUCUCCCUCUCAACCCUCUAGGUGGUCUCCCUCUCAACCCUCUAGGUGGUCUCCCUCUCAACCCUCUAGGUGGUCUCCCUCUCAACCAUCUAGGUGGUCUCCC